AUGAGAUGAAGCUUGCCUCUCCUUGGAUUAGCAGCCCAAGUGAGUCACAAGCACAGCUGAGCUAGAUCAGGUGGGAGGCAUCACUGCAAACUGCAAAUGCUCUGAACCAGCCUGCUCAUGGGAUUGCAUGGGCUCCUGACUCAUAGCGUGUGCUGAAGCACUUGGAGCAGAAAGGCAGUACAGGUCCUGCAGCUGCUUGGAGAGUCACAGUGUACACUCUGUGGGGAGCCUGAAGAUAAAUAGGCAGUCCUGUACAAUACCAGCACUUUUCGACUUCUUAAUACAAAGAAUCUAGAGAGGUGA
rnacentral:lncRNA from 1 species